rnacentral:sRNA from 1 species
AUCAGCGGGCCCCUUGGCAUGCCUGGGACAUGACUAUAUUUUACUUUUACGAAUUUAAACAACCCCACGUAGGGAAUGUCUACCGUCUUGGAUGGCAGAGUUCGAUGAGAAUUUACCCGCCCUCAGAGUAGCAUAGCCAGUGGCUGAAUUUGAAGCAGAGAAACACGUAUUUAAGAAAAUACUCCAUACUGGCUUAUCAUUCAUAAUUAAUGGCUCAUUAAUCAUUUACUCAAUAAGCAGUCUACUGGAACACUUAUGUGCCAAACACUCGCUGAGCUCUGGGAGCGAAGCCGUGUGACAUGCUCAUGUCCUUUACAUUUCUAGUGGGUAAGUUCACAGGGAGGAGCACACAGCAGUGAGUGUACUCUGGGCAGUGCACCUACGGACAGAAAACACCACAGGAAGUACCCUUAAACAACAUUUUGCUGAAAGACUUUUAUUUCCUGCAGGUAGGUCGGGUUAGAGAUCCAAGCAAUCCUGCCCCAAAUGGAACAACUGGGACGCAGACUCCAAUAGCUUCCAUAAUGUCUUUCUCAAUGCGUCACGGGGGUGCUGCAAAAUGAGCACAAUGGAUGUGGUAAUAAUCUGUGAGAGCAAGAAAAUGCUUCUGCUGUUUUAGGAUCAAAUGGGAGUUGACACAUCCAACGCACUAUGGAAUUCAAGUCCCCCCAUCUACCAUGGCUUCUGCUGUGGGUCAGCAGAUCACAUCUGUGACUCUGAAAGGGCUGUCUCUCCAGAUUCCAGGACAUCAGUUUGCCCUCUGACCACAAUUCUCUGACCUGAAGAGACUCAAAGGACAGGUAGAUAAUACAAGGCUGUGAAGUCAGUGGGACCACAUCACAAAGGCAUUCAAGUCCACGAGCCAACCUAGAAGCAUGUUGCUGGACUCUUCAUCGAGGGCUUGGAAUACGGCUUCCUUUCCCGGCCUAUGUGCUUAUGCCCACAACCGCCCCUCUUCAUCGCCUACUAAAGAGGAGAUAAUAGCAUUCAGCCCGCAUACAUCACCAGGUGGUUGCAAUAAUUUAAUUUUCCAAUAUCUAUAAAGCAUUUGACAACUAUAAAUCACUGGAAAACAGCAAACAACUUAACCCAUAUCGAGCCUUCCUUAUGGCCCCAUGUUUAAUUUAUGCGGUCUCUCUCGGAACUUAGGGACAUGCAUUUCAAUCUAUUUUCGGGAAUUCGACUUAUCGUUUUCUGUUGGGAAAAUACACCCUUUCCCUGCCAUCCUAACGUAUUGAGAGUGUGGCUUAUGGGAUUGUUGACCGGCUGUCUGUAGCAAAUAAAAUCUACAAAUAUUUACUAGCUGCUGAGCAUGGUCUUGCC